ACUCCCACGAAAUGCCCCCAAACUCCCACGAAAUGCCCACAAAAUUCCCACGAAAUGCCCCCAAACUCCCACGAAAUGCCCCCAAACUCCCAUGAAAUGCCCCCAAACUCCCACGAAAUGCCCCCAAACUCCCACGAAAUGCCCCCAAACUCCCACGAAAUGCCCCCAAACUCCCACGAAAUGAUCCCCAAACUCCCACGAAAUGCCCCCAAACUCCCACGAAAUGCUCCCAAACUCCCACGAAAUGCCCCCAAACUCCCACGAAAUGCCCCCAAACUCCCACGAAAUGCCCCCAAACUCCCACGAAAGCCUUGUCAAAUAUGUGUUUGUGUGUGCUUGGCCGCCGAAGUGUUUGAGAAUACGACCUUUGAUGUCCAUUGCAUUGUCUUAAUCAGGGUUCAUCAAUCUGUUGGUGAGGUUGCUGCCAAAAUUCCAAUUCAUCUAAGUCUAUUUCUAUUUCUUUUAACAGGCAGAUUGUUUAUUAAUACUUACCGGCCAUUGUAUAUAUUUAAUGAUGCCUUAUGUCCAUCGCUACGUCUAAAUCAGUGAUAAUUUAAGUUCGUCUAUCUCUAAUAUAUAUAUUUUUUUUUAGCACAAGAAGAUUAUUUGUUGAUGCUUAUUGAUUAACGUAUAUUUAUUGAAGCUUAAAUGUCCAUCGUAUUGUCUUAAACAUGGUUCGUAAAUCUGUUGGUGAGGUUCUGCGUGUCGCAAAACUUAGCGAGCAUCAAAGUUUACACAUUUUGUUCACUCUAAGAUGCUAAUGUGUCGUGUGAUGGUUUGUAGCACACUCAGGGUACGUCAAGGUGUGUUUAACAAUGCGACGCUACUUCUAGGCAACAUAUAGCCCCUUGAACCACGAACUUAGCGUAGAAAAGCGUUUGCAUAAGUUUUUUUCACUCCAAGAUGCUGAUACUGUUAUUGAAGCACACUGAAGAUACGUCAAGGUGUGUAUUUCAAUGCGACGCUACUUCUAGGCAACAUAUAGCCCCUUGAACCACGAACUUAGCGUAGAAAAGCGUUUGCAUAAGUUUUUUUUCACUCUAAGAUGCUGAUUCGGUUAUUGAAGCACACUGAAGAUACGUCAAGGUGUGUAUUUCAAUGCGACGCUACUUCUAGGCAACAUAUAGCUCCUUGAACCACGAACAUGGUGUAGAAAAGCGUUUGCAUAAGUUUUUUUCACUCCAAGAUGCUGAUACUGUUAUUGAAGCACACUGAAGAUACGUCAAGGUGUGUAUUUCAAUGCGACGCGACUUCCAGGUAACACACAGCACGGUGGACAGCUGGUUGCAACUGUCUUGAGUAACUUACCUUCGUCGAAUAUCAAGAGGAGUUUUUCUUUGUUUUUCUCAUCUGUUUCUCAGAGGCCCAUCGCUCUCCAUAGAUUAAAAGUAACUGGUAUCUUAAAGUGUUCUCUUGUUUCACUUGUUUCUAGAGGUCCGUCGCUUUUUAUACGUCAGGAACUACUGAUUUAAAAUGCUCUCUUGUUCGCCGCCUCGUUGCCAAAGUUUUUAAUUCCUCACUUUAUUCUCAGUUGUUGUUUUCACGUUUUCUUUCACAUCAUGAUUCCUGUUUAGUAAUGGUUAAUAGCCAUCGCGUUACCUAAAGACUAAGAAUUACUGGCUUUAUAAUAUUAUGUUCUUUCGUUGGUCGUCUGUAGUCUCGUUGCCAAAGUUUCUGAUUCCUCACUUUUUUCGUUCUCUAUUGUUGUUGUUUUCACGUUUUUCUGCAUCAUGACUCUUGCUUAGUAAUAGUCAAUGGCCAUCGUGUUGCCUAAAGAUUCAGAAUUACUGGCUUCAUAAUAUUAUGUUCUUUCGUUCGUCGUCUACAUAGUGUCUGGUUGCCAAAGUUUCUGAUUCCUCACUUUUUUCGUUCCCUAUUGUUGUUGUUUUCACGUUUUUCUGCAUCAUGAUUCCUGUUUAGUAAUUGUUAAUGGCCAUCGUGUUGCCUAAAGAUUCAGAAUUACUGGCUUCAUAAUAUGUUCUCCCGUUCGUCACCUACAGAGCCUCGUUGCCAAUGUUUCUGAUUCCUCACUUCAUCCUCUUUUGUUGUUUUUCUCGUUUUCCCGCAUCAUGAUUCCUGUCUAGCAAUGGUUAAUGGCCAUCGCGUUGCCUAAAAUGUCGUGUUUAUCUCCGCUUCUUUGUUCCCGCGAGUUUGUAUUGUCUUUCCCGUGUUUUUAUUUGGCGUCCGCUGUUUGCUUCUUAAUUGCUUGGUCAUAGUUAUCCGCCUCCGCCUUAAUCGCUGCCAAAUUUGCUGGUUUUGUGGGAAGAGAGAGAGGGAGGGGAGGAGAGGAGGGGAAUAGGGCCUUGUCUGACGCCAUCCCCCAAAACUUCACCCGGGUCUUAAGUGUUAUGGCUGUUGCUAAAACGCUUCCAGAAACAGCGGUCCUUAAGCUGUGUUGGGAUGACUUUUUAUUUACAAGCUGAGGUUAGAUUGCACUUCUUUUCCCGUCUUUUUGUUUUACUUUAUUUACUCUCCCUAUCUAUCGGGGAGGCGGUUAGCGAGCGGGCGCAGCAUCCAGGAGGACGCAGGUUCGAUCCCGCCCGCCACCACAAGCUGGGAUUUUUCAGUCACCGCCGAGUGGCCUAAGUCUACCCACAUGCUGUCCUGAAGACCACCUAUCAACCCAGACUCUAGAUUUUCUCUUUAAAUGAGAGGUUCAAAGAUGAGCUCAGGGGGGCAGCAUGAACCAAGCAAGACGGCGCCACUAUAAACACUCGCCUGCGCUACAACGGGCUGGGGCCGGCCAUCAGACCCCACCACGAUAGCGAAACGUAAAGGCAAAGAAGAAGAAAAAAAUAUUUAAUAUCUAUCUGUUCUUUUAUUCGUUAAAGUGUCAUCCUAGACACUUAUCGAGGACGAAAGAACGAGAGUAGUAUGCAUAAACACUUAUCGUCAAUGCUGCCCUUCUCCUCAUUUGUCCAGCGCCAAGUGGGUGUGUACUCUGUUGUUUCUCAAGGCUAGGAGGAGGUGUAUUUGCUAAUGGUGUUCCCGCUGUUGGUUGGCCUAUCAUAAGAGACUGUCAUAAGAGGAUUAAGCUGACUGAUCAUAAGGGACUGGAAGAGACUCACGUAUUCAAUUCCCUGUGUUUCUAGGUUUGCAGAGGUUGUGUAGAGAUCAUUCCAGUUCGUUUCUCAAGUAAUAUAUUUCCCACGUUUACUAUAGUGUCAUUCAUGGAAGAAAGAGGAGGAAAGAUAGAAAGAAAAAACUAUAAUAGAAGCAUUGGUUUUACGAAGGAUGAGGAGGAGGAGGAAGGGGAGAAGAGGAGAAGGAGGAGGAGGAAAGAUAAAUAGAAAAAUCAUCAUAGGAGCAUUGGUUUUAUGAGGGAUGACGAAGAGAAAAAGUAGGAGGAGCAAAGAUAGAUAGAAAAACCGUCUCAAAGGAGGAGGAGGAGAGGGAAGAAGAGGAGGAGGAGGGGGAGGAGGCGUGGCAAUACAGGGGAUGGGAGGAUCUGUAUUGAGGGUACACAGACGAGGCACCCAGUCAGUCAGUCACCAACAGCUCGGGGCAGCGGAGGGAGGUGAGGUGAGGUGGCGGGGUGGCGGGGUUGGGGGGAGACGUUUCUGGGUUAGCAUAUGACUCAGAACUUGUGUGUGUGGGAGGGGCAGGCGGCCGGUGAAUGAAGCCUCGAAGGGGUUAAACAAAAGAAGGCAGGACUGAGAGAGGUUUGAGGUCACCAGUUACAUUUUUAAACUAGACGGGAGAAAGUCGAAAGUAUUAAGAUUCCAGAAAUAGCUUUAAAAUAAAUGAUUGGAGGAUAGAUAUGGAGAAACAGAAUGAAGCCUGGGCGGGUUAAACAAAAGAAGGCAGGACUGAGAGAGGUUUGAGGUCACCAGUUACAUUUUUAAACUAGACGGGAGAAAGUCGAAAGUAUUAAGACUCCAGAAAUAGCUUUGAAAUAAGUGACUGGAGGAUAGAUAUGGAGAAACAGAAUGAAAUCUUUUGGGGUGAAACAAAAGGAGGCGAGCUUGGCAGAGGUUUGAGGUUAGCAAUUGCAUUUUUUAGCCAGACAGGACAAAGUUGAAAGAAUUGAGGCUUACGAAAUAGCUGUAAAUGGAGGGAUUGAAGGAUAGAUGUGGAUGAGCAGAAGCAAAACGGGCGAAAGUUGAAAGCACUGAGGUUUGAGAAAUAGUUGUAUAAGAAUAGUCGAAGGAUAGAUAUAGGAAAAAAAAACACAGAAUGAAAGUUGAAGGUAUUGAAGCUUAAAAGAUAGUCGUAAACAAUGUAUUGAAGUGUAGAUAUGAAUAAGUAGAAGCUAAAUGGCAGAGUUGAAAAUAUUAAGGCCUUAGAAAUAGUUGUAAAAUGAGUGAUUGAAGGAUAUAAAAACUGAUGAGGGAAGGUGAAAAUAUUAAGACCAGAAAUAGAUAGUUGUAAAAUAAGGGAUAAACAGAAGCUAGACAAGGGAGAAAUUUGAAAGUACUGACGGGAAAGGAAGUACAAUCUAACCCCAGCCAAAAAAAAAAGAAAAAAAAAAAAAUAAGGAUAAGAAAAAAAAUAAUUAAAACUAAGAUUGCGAAAUAGAUGUAUAUAAGGGACUGAAGGAUAGCUAUAGGUGGGAGAGAUGAUGGGGAGGAGAGGAGAGGUGGAGGAAGGGAGUGGAGGAAAGGAGAGAGGUGGAGAGAAGUGGAGGAAAGGAGGAGGAGGGUACCCACUGUCCUAUCCACUCUUACAGCCAGUCACGCCGCUGCCUUGAGUUACACAGCUGCUCCCCCCUCCCCCUACCUCCCCUCCCCCCUAACACCUGACGGAGGAAGGGGGAGGGAGGGGGGAUGCGCUAACAAGGGAGGUGAGGAGGAGAAUUGGAGGAGGGGGGGGCAGAGCAAGCAAAGAGGAGCAAAUAUGGAGGGGUGGAGGGAGGGAGGGGUGUGGAGGUAUGGAGGUAGGACGUGAGGGAAAAAUUAGGAGGAGAAGGAGAAGGAGAUGGAGGAGAAGUGAAAGGUAUGAGGCGUAGGAGAAAGAGGAGGAGGAGGAGGAGAAGGAGGAAGAAAAUGAGUAUCUGGUGGAAAAUGAAGAGAAGAAGAAGAGUAUGAGUGGAAGGAGGAAGAAAAGGAAAAGAAGGAGAAGAAAGAAAACGAAAAGAAGGAGGAGAAGAAGGAGGGAGAGGAGGUGGAAGAGUAAAAUAAAAGUAGAGACGAAGAAGGAAAGAUGAAAAACAGGAAAAGAUGAAAAAGAAGGAAAAGAAUAAGAGAGAAAGAUGAAAGAAACAAGAAUGAGGAAGAAGAAACACAAGAAUCAGAAGAAAAAAGAGAAACAAGAAGAAGAAAAAAAACAAGAAAGAAUGAGGUACAAGAGGAAGAGGAGGACAAAGAAGAAGAAGAAGAAGAAGAAGAAGAAGAAGAAGAAGAAAAAAAAAAGAAGAAGGAGGAAAAGGAGGGGCCAGGAUACAUUCUUUCAACCACACCUUCCCCACACACACACCCUGGCAUGCGGGCGAAGACAGGUGUUCUGACGUCAGGAGAAGACAGGUGUGAGGGGCCCGUAGGAGCUCAUCAACACACACACAAACACACACACACACACACACACACACACACACACACACACACACACACACACACAUACACACACACACACACACACACACACACACACAGACA